GCGCUGGUUCCGGGUUACGUCAAAGGUCCAGUCCAGGACAUUCCAAAGAGGAGUCGAGUCCAAUUGUCCAAUUUUUUCUUUUUAUUCCAAAUCAUUUUGUGGAAAUACAAAGAAAAAUGGAGGGGAAAACGGAGAAGGAAAACAAGAGUGUGAAGAAGAAAGCAUGCGAUGUGGAGGCUCUGAAGAAAUGUUUGGAAGAAAAUAAAGGCGACUAUUUGAAAUGCCAGUCUCAUAUUGAAGCUUUUAAGUCAUCUUGUUCUAUCAACAACCCUAAUUCUUCUUCGGAAUACCCCCCAAAGCUCAGCUCCGUUGUAGAGGACCUCAGAUAAGCAACUUGAAUGAAGAUUGGAAGACCGAAGCCCCCUAUCUUCUGCUGUUAGCAGUAAUAAAGCCAAAAAGAAGAUUCAAGUUCAAGUCACUGCAUUUUUUGUAACAUUGCACAACUAGUCUAUAGUCUUCUAUUCUAUGUAAUUUCUUCGGCUUUAACCUGAUUCCAGAAAUAUGUGGUUUUUGGUAUGUAGAAAGAGAAGAAAAUAAUGAGGAAAGCAAGUGGUGUUGGAUGGGCAGUUACAGAUUUUGCAUGCCGUUAGCAUGUUAUUGUCUUACUUGUCAUAUGUGAAGUGUCAUUUACAAAAGCAUAUUUGUCUAUUAAGCAGAGGCGGAGUUAGGAUUUCAAGCUUA